rnacentral:misc_RNA from 1 species
GAUGAAGAACGUAGUGAAAUGCGAUAAGUAGUGUGAAUUGCAGAAUUCAGUGAAUCAUCGAAUCUUUGAACGCACAUUGCGCCCCUUGGUAUCCCGAGGGGCAUGCCUGUUCGAGCGUCAUUUCACCACUCAAGCCUGGCUUGGUGUUGGGCGACGUCCUCUUUGGGGACGCGCCUCGAAACGCUCGGCGGCGUGGCACCGGCUUUAAGCGUAGCAGAAUCUUUCGCUUUGGAAGUCGGGGCCCCGUCUGCCGGAAGACCUGCUCGCAAGGUUGACCUCGGAUCAGGCAGGGAUACCCGCUGAACUUAAGCAUAUAAUAAGCGGAGGA